ensembl:rRNA 5S_rRNA 5S ribosomal RNA
GUCUAUGGUCAUGCCGCCCUGAACAAGCCUGAUUCUGUCUGAUCUCAGAAGCAAAGCAGGGUCGGUCCUCGUUUGUACUUCGAUGGGAGACCACCUAGGAAGACCAGGUGCUGUAGGUG